ensembl:lncRNA
AGCAGACAAAGGUUUCUGUCCACAUGGAGUUUACGUUCUCGUGGGAGAAUGUAGAAAAUGAACAAUGACAACAAAAGGUUCAAAGAGCGGCAAGAUGGCCGGCAGCAAACCCAGAAUGUACAGUCUCUCUGCUUCAACUCCAGCAGACAUGCUUGAUGACCUCUUUCUCAGAAGUCCCAAUCACAGAGAAGAGAGAGAGAAAAUAGGCCAAAAUAUUAAUAGGUACGUCUGGAUAAAGAGUUGUUUACCAUCCGUGCAACUUUCCCACAAGUUUAUUUUCAAAUAAAUACAUUUUAAGAAUGGAAAAGAAAAAAAAAAAGGCCCAACUAAAUUCCUGUUGCUCUCAUUGGGUCAUGUUCCUGUCCCUGAGGUGGUCACUAUGGCCAGGAGAAUUUGAUGCUUGGGUUGGCUGGAGCCCAGGAGACUUGUCCUACCUUAGACCCUGGGGUGGAGCCCUGACUGCAGCGUGUGGGAUGCGAACUGAGAGGAUGCUGGGCAAGAAAAACUGCAGAUGUCCACCCCAAGUGUGCUGAGGACCAAAUGAAAAAAUAUAAGGAAACUGACUUCAGAAAGUCCUGUUCGACUAUAAAUGAUGAUGACUGUUCGGUUAUGUUUCUCUCGUGACACGUAGCACUUUCUUCCUUCUCUCUACAGUCGUCUGGUUCAUGCUUUAUCUCCCCUACCACGCCCCGAGCAGCUAGAGAUUAGGGACUUUGCUCUAGUCGUCUCUGGAGCGCUCCACCACUUCUGACUGAGCACCUAGAUAAUAGGACAUAUCCAAUAAAUGAUUGUGGAAUAAGGGAAUGAACCUAAAAUCCAAAGCGUUCCCAGAAUUCUGUGAAUCCCUGGGCCAAACUCUCAGAAGACUGCGGAGAACUUUAACCUUUCCCUGGGGUCACAGAUAAGUCGGCUCUGGCGUUUUUCAUGGUGGAGGGCGGGGCAAGAUCAUUUCAGGAAGAGGUGCCCUUGCAUUGAUUUAUUGACCUGGCCAGGCGAAGACCAGACAGAGAAAAGAAAAGUCCUUCUGAUCCGUUUGUUUAUUCACCAUCUGCUUUGUUUUUCUCUCCCUGUCCUUGUUACAGAGAAGGGGGCUUCAGGAAGGCACAGACUGAAUGAAAGAACCUCCCAAAGGCACUGACAGGUGUGGGGUUCCCUCUUGAUCCUCGAGGCCUGAGCUUCCAGGAAGUUUUGAGUUUAAUUGAAAGAACUGCAUAUGAAUUCUAGUCGAAAAGCUGGAAGCUCGGCCCGGUGUCUGUUCUCCCCUCUCUCUGCGGUUGUGUUCAUUUCCUCAGAUUUCCUAUCUGAACAGAGUCUGGAGCUGCUGGGACCAACUGGAGUUUGGGAAACCGAGCGCGUAAAAGAGGGAAUACAGGACUCAGAUCACCUCUUGAAAUGGUCUGCAGGUAGCCCUGCUCCAGAGCUGUCCUGGAGCUGCUUUUUGGCUGAUUUGCAACAGAGACACUCACUCUUCAGCCACAAGUGUUAAGUAGAAAAGGCUAUGUGGCUUAAGAUACCUGUAGUCCAUCGGGCUGUGCAGACUCACUAGUUUUCAACCUGCCUUCUAUUAUGUUGUGGCAAUGAUGCUAUUCCAGGAACCUCCGCCCCCAGCAGGGCAGAAACAACAGGGACACCUUUUCAGGGAAGGAAAGUUACAUGAUUACAGGUAGCCACAGGCGCUCUGCCCAGGGACCUGCAGCAGCACGGUCUUAUAGAAAGGGCCUGGACUCGGAAGCCACACAAAGUUGCAAGUGAAUGACUGAUGCUAAUUUAUAAAGCCUGGGAACACAGCAAAGGAGUUCAGGAGAACUGAUCACAUUGGUGGCUAAUCACUGAUAUGCAGCUUGGCCGUGGCAAGGAUUGAAAUGAAAAUUGUGUGUCAGUCUUUGACAUUGAAACGGAUGACAGUAAUCAGCCCCAUGCAACAGAUCAUUUCAUUCAACUACGCAGACGCAUUUUGCAGCUAAUCCUUCUUGCGAGACUAUUACUAUGAAUCACACCUUUUUAGCUGUGUGGUCCAGAAUCUAAGUGUCUCAGAAGGUCCUGUGAGAGGGAAAGGUUUGCGCUGCCUGGCGGCACAGGGCAGACAUCUCGACUCUCACAUAUGCCCACUCUGUGGACUUGCUUUAAGCCUAUGGGCCGAGAUUGCAAACUGGCAGCCGGUGGACCGCACACAGCCUGUGGAUGUGUUCUAUUUGGCUCCACACUGUUUUGCUUUUAUUUUAUUUUUUGUUGAGGAAUAUUAACCCUGAGCUAACUGCUGCCAAUCCUCCUCUUUUUGCUGAGGAAGACUGGCCCUCAGCUAACAUUCAUGCCCAUCUUCUUCUACUUGACAUGUGGGACGCCUACCACAGCAUGGUUUGUCUAGCGGUGCCAUGUCCGCACCUGGGAUCCGAACUGGCGAACCCGGGCUGCCAAAGCGGAAGGUGCGUUCUUAACCGCUACGCCACCGGGCGGCCCCUGCUUUUAUUUUUUUUAAGUUGAAUUGGUUGCCCUAAUCUAAAGCUUCACAUGACCCAAGUUUCUGGCUUGUCUUGAAAAAGGGAAGAGCUGGCAACACUGACGCUGCGGUAACAUCAUGUGGGGCUGAGCGGAGAUGCUCGCUGGAGAUGGGACCACCGUUACCUACUGUCUCCCUCCCACUCAGUUCCAUUCACGUAUGGAAACUGCCUGGGCCCUGAAGGCGUUUGAGCUGGGGACUCUUGGCCUGUGAAGUCCCCUUUUGUCACUGGAAGAGAGCACAGCUGCUAGCGUUCUGUUCCUUUGGGCUCUCUAACCUCUCUUCCUCCACCAGCAAUGAUACCAGCAGGAAUCAGUGUUUGUGAUUCCUUCGGAUAUGUCUUCCCUGAGUUUAUAUUUAAUGCCACAGUUGAAGACAUGUGUCAUGUGACCAGUAGGUUCUCAUAUGAGGAUGAAGGGGAGGAAUCUGUCUUUGAAAUUUGCCUCUCUGCACCGUUUCUGGGUUCUUUGAAGUCCAGCGGCUUCUGUGUGUAUAGAGGAACACUCUCUGCGACCUCCAGUAUAACUGAUGCUCAAUUUCUCAAAUUUAUUUAUCUAAUAAAACUUAGAAAAUUAAAAUUUCUUAAACUACAUUUUUACGUUUAGGUCCUGACUACAAAUUAUAUUUCUUUUGGGUGAAAAUAACAGAAAGCCCUGACUGAAAAUGGCUUAACCGAGGAGG